GAAUAUUGGUCAAUGGCCGAGAGGCUGACCCAGCCAUGCCGCGUGCAGGAAGAAGGCCUUCUGGGUUGUAAACUGCUUUUAUCUAGGAAGAAAACGCCUUUGCGAAGGUAACUGACGGUACUAGAUGACUAAGCACCGGCUAACUCCGUCCCAGCAGCCGCGGUAAUACGGAGGGUGCAAGCGUGGUCCGGAUGUAUUGGGUUUAAAGGGUGCGUAGGCGGCCCGUUAAGUCAGCGGUGAAAUCCCACGGCUCAACCGUGGAACUGCCGUUGAUACUGGCGGGCUUGAGUUCGGUCGAGGCGGGCGGAACUGGUGGUGUAGCGGUGAAAUGCAUAGAUACCACCAAGAACACCGAUUGCGUAGGCAGCUCGCUGGGCCGAAACUGACGCUGAGGCACGAAAGCGUGGGGAGCGAACAGG
rnacentral:rRNA from 1 species